rnacentral:rRNA from 1 species
UACGUAGGGUGCGAGCGUUAAUCGGAAUUACUGGGCGUAAAGCGUGCGCAGGCGGUUUUGUAAGUCAGAUGUGAAAUCCCCGGGCUUAACCUGGGAACUGCGCUUGAAACUACAAGGCUAGAGUGUAGCAGAGGGGGGUGGAAUUCCACGUGUAGCAGUGAAAUGCGUAGAGAUGCGGAGGAACACCGAUGGCGAAGGCAGCCCCCUGGGCCAACACUGACGCUCAGGCACGAAAGCGUGGGGAGCAAACAGG